CCCAGCAGCCCUGGGAGCUAUUUGCUUUCCUAUUACAGUAAAGACUUUGCUUGCUGCCUUUGUGUUCACGAAGUUCAUUCCACAGCUUUGCAAACAACUCAGAUUCUGGUAACAUCUUUCCAGCAUCAUCUUUUGGGGGCUCAUCCAGGAUCCAAUCCAGUACACCAUCGCUCACCAGAUGGGAGCCACAUCCUCAAGCCUGGUACACACUUCAAUAGCAACUCCUCUGACAUGUGCCU